rnacentral:rRNA from 1 species
UGGGGGAUAUUGCACAAUGCGCGAAAGCCUGAUGCAGCGACGCCGCGUGGGGGAUGAAGGCCUUCGGGUUGUAAACUUCUUUUGCUCUGAACAAGGCAUGCUAAUGGGUGUGUUGAGUGUAGGGGUUGAUUAGCGCCGGCUAACUACGUGCCAGCAGCCGCGGUAAUACGUAGGGCGCGAGCGUUGUCCGGAAUUAUUGGGCGUAAAGGGCUUGUAGGUGGCUGGUUGCGUCUGUCGUGAAAGCUCAUGGCUUAACUGUGGGUUUGCGGUGGGUACGGGCUGGCUUGAGUGCAGUAGGGGAGGCUGGAAUUCCUGGUGUAGCGGUGGAAUGCGCAGAUAUCAGGAGGAAUACCGGUGGCGAAGGCGGGUCUCUGGGCUGUUACUGACACUGAGGAGCGAAAGCAUGGGGAGCGAACAGG